UGAAAGUGCCCAAUCUCAUAAGCC
rnacentral:siRNA from 1 species